AGAAGUGCUCACAGCACAGCCCUCAGCAUGGACUGGAGCUGGAGAGCCCUCCUCCUGGUGGCCAUGGUGACAGGUGUCCAUUCCCAGGUGCAGCUGGUGCAGUCUGGGGCUGAGGUGAGGAAGCCUGGGACCUCCGUGAAGGUCUCCUGCAAGGCUUCUGGAUACACCUAUACCAGCUACUACAUGCACUGGGUGCAACAGGCCCCGGGACAGGGCCUUGAGUGGGUGGGGAGGGUUAACCCGAGCAAUGGAGACACAAACUACGCACAGAAGUUCCAAGGCAGAGUCUCCAUAACCAGAGACACGUCCACGAGUACAGCCUACAUGGAGCUCAGCAGCCUGAGAGCCGAAGACACGGCCGUGUAUUACUGUGCUACACACGACUAUCCCAUGAACUGGGUCCGCCAGGCUCCAGGGAAGGGGCUGGAGUGGGUUGCAUACACUAGUUAUGGUGAUGGUAAUCCCAUAUACUACGCCACGUCUGUGAAGGGCCGCUUCACCAUCUCCAGAGACAACGCCAAGAACAUGUUGUAUCUGCAAAUGAGCAGCCUGAGAGCCGAGGAUUCGGUCGUGUAUUACUACAAGGAGGCCAAGAUGGAGAUGGAAACCGCCCUGGAGGCCGAGGAAAGGCUGCAGAAGGCUAAGGGCGGGGUCUGA